rnacentral:rRNA from 1 species
GUGCACGCUGGCGGUAGGCCUAACCCAUGCCAGUCGCACGGCAGCACAGUAAGAGCUUGCUCUUACGGGUGGCGAGUGGCGGACGGGUGAGGAAUACAUCGGAAUCUACUUUUUCGUGGGGGAUAACGUAGGGAAACUUACGCUAAUACCGCAUACGACCUACGGGUGAAAGCAGGGGAUCUUCGGACCUUGCGCGAUUGAAUGAGUCGAUGUCGGAUUAGCUAGUUGGCGGGGUAAAGGCCCACCAAGGCGACGAUCCGUAGCUGGUCUGAGAGGAUGAUCAGCCACACUGGAACUGAGACACGGUCCAGACUCCUACGGGAGGCAGCAGUGGGGAAUAUUGGACAAUGGGCGCAAGCCUGAUCCAGCCAUACCGCGUGGGUGAAGAAGGCCUUCGGGUUGUAAAGCCCUUUUGUUGGGAAAGAAAAGCAGCAGGUUAAUACCCCGCUGUUCUGACGGUACCCAAAGAAUAAGCACCGGCUAACUUCGUG